AAAUACCCGGAUUAGAAGUCGAACAUGUGGCAGUUGAGUUUCGCCAUCAGGGCUUUGUUUGUUUCACAUUACAGAGUAACGAGCUUGUGCUUGUCUAGCACAUUGUCUCGUCUCUCAUGAUCAAUGUCUGUCUAAUGGCAGAAGAUGUGAUGAGAAAAGGUCAUGCUUUGUCUUCCAGCACAGAUGGGACCGGAAAGCAGAAGUAGCUGCUACUCUAUUGGCAUAUGCAAUUCAACUAGAUGAAGGAACAGUAGAGGAAGUAAAAAAAUUGUUAGGGAGUGAACUAAAUUAUUAAAGAAGGGGACUGGAAGGCAGAUGGUAAGUUACAGGAUGGAAAUGAGUUUGAAGAGUAUGCAUUACUGCCGAACAGACUCAAUUAAUAUUCGCAACACUAACCUUCCACUUAAAUAUCACAAUUUCUGAUCUCUGACUUGUUGCUGGACUGCUUGUUAACGUUGAUGAUUCUGAAGGGCUUUGAAUUGAGCAUGCACGCUGGGCAUAUUUGUAAUCAGCAGUAUUUAAGAGACAUUUUGACCACAAAAUCAAUGCUGGAACAGAAACCAGCAACUUGACUGGAAAUUUUGUUAGGAUGAUUUUCAUGAAGAGAAACUGCCUCAAUGUUGACAGCUCUGAGAGAAGUUUUUCUGCUUCAUCAUUCUUCCUUUUUCUCAUAUUUCUCAAAAAGUUCAAGCCUGUACAAAAUAAGACACAUUGAUUCACACAUGCUGAUUUGACAUUAUAGAACAUUUAGUCUUACAAAAUGCUGUAUUGGGAUGUUUCUCGUGUAGUGAAUGUCUUUGUAUGUCAAGAGUUUCUCUCAAAUGUUUUCACUUUUAUCUAAGUUGCCUUCUCUCAUCAAAUAUAUAUCAGUUGACAAACAGCUGAGAACAACAACAGCUCAUGACCAACACUUGAAAAUUACGCCUUAUUCACACUGCAGUAUCAACAUGUGCAAAUGAUAAUCAGCAUGUCAAGCUUACAAUUUACAUAAAGUUGAUGUCAAAAGAAAGACAAGAAACUAAACUGUGCCCACAUCAGAAUGGUGUGGUGGAUGGAGAGAUUAUUGAAAGGUCAUCAUUUACUUUACGUUGUUGGUGCAAGACACUAUUAAAGCAAGUGUGAACUGACCUGAAGAAGAUAAACAAUGAUAGAUAUAUUAUUUGUACACAGCACAUUGAAUCAACGUGAGGUGAGUAGAGUUGUUUCAGUAAAAAGAGUGAGAGGUCUUACAAUUGUAUCAGAGAAUGAACAUGCACAUACUUCUUGUUACUUUAUCUGAGGCCGUUUACCAGAGUACUAGUAUAUGAAUGAUCAGGCAAACUCUGAAACUAGUGAGUACCGUCUGCAAUGUCAUAAUCUUCUGGGAUAGCAGCUUUUCUGAUGUCAAAAGAAUCUCUCAAUAAUAUUCAGCUUCAGACAACUUAUUUUGUCUCAUAAACAAUUACCAAGCAUCUUCAUAGGUAAUAACAAUAAAGUGACAAUUAAUACACAACAACUUUCCUUAUAUAAUAAUUGAGUUGCAAGACAACACUGAAUAUCUAAUAUAUUUCAAUGCAGUAGUAAAAAGGAUGAGUUCAUUCUCACACAACGUGUAACCAUGCACUAGCUGUUCUAGUCUGUCAAUGUUAAAGAAGCGCUAUUGGACCUCUACCGGUGAGGUAGUGUUCUCAUCGAAUGAUCUAAGAUCUGCAUUUUCACAAUUGAAUGGGAAAGCCGAGACAAAAAUGUGAAUUGUUUACUCCUAAAGCAUCAGCCUAUAUUCUGACGUCACCUUUCUUGUCUCAAGCGAAGGUAUAUCAUUGUUCUGGCCCCAAUCAGCAACAGCUCAUUCAUUUCAAAGAUUUGUACUGACUUUGCCCAAUCAGGAAGCCUACUCUGUGAGGACGUGCUUCAGCUGGGGAUAUACACAGAGUGCCAUGGUACUUUUUUGCUACUGCCAUAUACUCAUCCAUCGUCUGUGUCAUCUACUCAGGAACAGUCCUUCUAAUGAGCUGCGUUUGCAUGCUACGAUCGAUCGUACAUGACACACAAACGCAAGCUACUUUUACCAAACUGCUAAACGUCAAUAAUAUGACUGCUGAAGCCUGAUCACAGGCCAUACUCAUGCAGUGAGGUAUGGUGGUUUCAGGAUGACUUCUUCAACACAUUUCUCACCAAUUGCAUUUGUCUCUGUUUGUACUGACUCAAUCGUUGCAAGUGUUAAUUGUCAGACCAAUUUUCAGACCUGCAGUCACAAGUAGCUUCAGUAAUCAGUCAAACAACGUCUUCAAGCACUUAUUAGUCAUCAUCUACAGCAGUCUGUGUCUUGGUCAGGUUCUGACAGAUGUCCUCUCUAACACUAUUACACAUCUUCAAUCAAGGAUGCAGCACAUUUGAGAUCGAUCCCUUUAACGUAAGGGAUCAGGAGCUUGGCUAGACGCUAUUUCCACUUCAAAAAAGCUUACAAUUACUCUUGGAUUCUUCCACUUGACAGCAUUAAUGAGGUUGGAUCUACGUUUGCUACUUCUCCGGCCUGUAAUUGAAUGGGAUUGCGGAAAGACAUUGGACAUUGAUGGACACCACCUCAUUAUUUGCAAGACAGGACGGGGUCCAGUUUGGUGACACAUUUCAACGUCUCCGCUUGGUCUGAAUGUUUGAAACGCGUGUCACUUCCUCACACUAUUGAGUCAAAAGACUAUUAUAGCAACUCUCAAUCUAGACAUGACGUUGCUGUCCAUAAUGCAACCCACUUCUGAUCAAUGUUGAACUUGACAGCUUUCUGGUUCACUUUUGGAUCUUAGAAGUAAUUUAACUUGCAGUCACAAUGGAUGGAUCAGGAGCUGUAAAAAGAGGAAGAAAAGAAGACAGAGAGGUAUAGAAAAGAAAACACACUGGUGGAGGUUCUCCUUGCCUGAUUUCCUUGGUUUUGAACAUUUUGGACGUUGGGCAAUAGCGGAGAAAAGUUUUCUUCACCAUGUCUCACUAAGAUCACGUGAUGAAGAUGGGAUCUAAAGUUGAAUUCAAUUAAAUUUACAAUUUACUGGCUGCGAAUACUGUUAAUAACAGUACAACUUUGCAAUAAUAGUGCUUUAGCAAAAGAAUUGACAGAAUAGUUUGUAGAAAUGACUUUGUAGAUGAUGAUACUGUAGUUACAAAUAUCAGAUGAUUUUCUAUUAGGGUUUUUCUUUCGCGACUAUUACAGUAAGUUGUCUUGAA